GUUUAUACAAAAUGUUACAGAAGCAAAUAAGCAGGCUAUUGUGGAAUAAUAAAGGAGAAAUAACUACAAUUCUAAGACUGAAAUUCAUUGGAAGAAAGAAACUGGAGCAAGAGAUAACUAGAAGAAAUGAAGACUUCAUAAUUCUCAGAGUGUGAUUAGGUGAUCCUGCCUGCCUAGUAACAGAAAACUGAAGACAGGAGCAGUG